GUGAAGUUUGACAUAAAAACUGGUCCCGUAGUCUGUGUAGUCAGCGGCUAAUUUCAUUUCACAAAUGUCCAAUAUGGCAGAUUCCCCUGUUUUAAAGAGGCAAAGAACGACGACUAAAACUAACUGUACUUUAGUCGAAAUGUUUUUAAAAUGGUGCGAAAGGGUUGGUUUAGAAUUGAGCAAAAAGGUUACGGUGCGGGAACAAGGUUCGUGUCAUAGGUUCGGAAUGAUAGCUUUGGACGAUAUAGAUGAAGGGGAAACACUUUUCCAAAUUCCAAGAACCAUUUUACUGGAGCCGAGUAACACAGCGAUUUCUCAAAAAGUGUUAGAGUUUUCGAAAAAAAUACCAGAUAUAGAGACCAGAAAUCGGUGGUUACCACUUUUAUUGACUUUGCUAUACGAAUACACUAAUACAAGAUCAAAAUGGAGACCAUAUUUGGACCUAAUUCCCGAGGAAGAUGUCCUCAAUCAACCGAUAUUUUGGACUGAAGAUGAACGUGAUUACUUGACGCUGAUUGGUCUUAAAGAUCACGUUAACGAUGACUUAAUGAAUAUCGAAUUGGGAUAUAAUAAAUAUAUCUUGCCUUUCAUGAAUAGUUACCAAGACUUAUUUGACCCAGCAGUUCAUACCUUCGUACUAUACAAACGUCUGGCUGGUUUUGUCAUGGCAUAUAGCUUUUCACAUGAUGACAGUGAAAAUGCUGAACCAACGAUGGUUCCCAUGGCAGAUAUCUUAAAUCACGUCACUAACAAUAAUUCACAUCUCGAGUUUGGUGACAAAUUUCUGAGUAUGGUGACAACGACAGAAGUAGCUAAGGGUGAUGAAUUAUACAAUACAUACGGAAAUUUGGACAAUUGUAAUCUUCUGCGUUCGUAUGGAUUUGUUGAAAAACGCCAAACUGUUAUGAUGAGGUUGAAAUACCACUCAUGGUAUUUCAAGAUAUUUUGGCGCUAACCGAAAAGGAAUGGGAAUUGAAGUUGUCUCGAUGGUAUUAUGAGUGCGAAAACUCCAUGGAUCCUAAUGAAGAAUUGAUCUUCUAUACAGAGGCUGGAACAUCUUGGACGCAAAGACAGUUGUAUUCAUUUUUCAAGAUCAUGUUAGAAAAGAUGAGUCCUGAAGAAAGACGAAACACAAUUUCAGUAAACAAAAAGUCGAGAAGUUUUGAAGACAUAGAGC